UGUAGAGAACUUGACACUUGACUUAAUUAAAAUGAAUCAACCGCAUGUGUAGUCGUGAUGGUCUCUUUUCGGUGGAGUCUGGGAAGUGAACAUAGUUUGUGUUAUGGUUGUACGUAAGUAGUUCAGGAUCACUUCUUGAUCACUUCUAGCUUCACGACCGUUGCGUAGCAUCUCCUCUUACUCUUAUACUCAUAUGUUAGCCACCAUAUUUUGCUUAGCGCUUGCUGCAACUCCACCUCAUUACCACAUCCUACCCAUAAGCUUAAAUAGUCUUGAUCUCACGGGUUUUGAGAUUGCUGAGUCCUCGUGACUCACAGAUACUACCAAAACAGUUGCAGGUGCUGAUGAUACUAGUGUAGGUGAUGCUACUGAACUCAAGUGGGAGUUCGACGAGGACCACGGUCGUUACUAUGUAUCAUUUCCGGAUGAUCAGUAGUGGAGCCCAGUUGGGACGAUCGGGGAUCUAGCAUUUGGGGUUAUCUUCUUUUUCAUUUGUAUUUGACCGUAGUCGGUCUAUGUGUAUUUUGGAUGAUGUAUGAGUUAUUUAAGUAUUGUGUGACGUGGCGAUUGUAAGCCAACUCUAUUUAUCCCUUUCUUGUUCAUUACAUGGGAUGUUGUGAAGAUGACCCUUCUUGCGACAAACCCACUAUGUGGUUAUGCCUCUAAGUCGUGCCUCAACACAUGGCAGAUAUAGCCGCAUCAUGGGUGUUACAAUUAUACUUGAUUUUCUUUGUUGACUGACCUCUUGUUUUUGCUGUUGCUAGUAGGGAGGUGGAGGAGGAUAUGGAAACCCUCAUGCACCGGCCACGGAGGGCCCGGCCUUGGUGGGGAGCAACACAGAGGACCCUGCACCGAGCCCCAGUCCAGCCCCCCGCCUGGAAGUGGGGGACGUCCUCUUCCACUGGAGGCGAUGGGGACGGGCUUCCUGCUCCCUCGGCCGGAGGGGAUGGUGAGACGAUGUAGGGUGAGCCCCUCCUAGAAGGGAAUGUACCCUCCGCCAACCGAGCCGAAGAACCUCCAACGGGACCCUCCGCGUAUGAGACCGCACAGAGUGCUACUACGACUGCCACGACAGGGGUGGAGUCCAUAGCCCGGCAACCGAUGCUGCUAGGGAAACUGAGGCCCCUGCCCGACAGACCUCUCCAGUUAUAUAACUCCCAUUCUUUUUUAUUUCUUGUUCAUAUCACCUCUCCUUAUUUUCCACUUAUCUGAAACUUCUAUCUCUUUGUCAUUCGCCCAUUCUCUUCCCUGCAGUCCCCGAGGCUGAAGAGCCAGAGCUACUGGAAGAGGUGGCCGGCAUAGGGAGAACUGCAGUGGAUGAGGCCGCCAAGAUCGCUACUAUGGAGGAGUUGGACCUCGUUACCGAGCAUGCUGAAGAUUCCUUGGCGGUGGUGGAGCAUUCUUCGGAGAACAUCUCGAAGGAGGAAGUGGUGGUUGAGGGGAAAAUUCCUCUACAGACCAUGGAUCCCCUUCCAUCCUCCGGGAUCAUUAUGGGGACCUCGCCACCCCCUGAAAUCAGCUGGCGCCGGUGCUGGCGCAGUCCGGGACUGGAGCCCCCGGCCCAUCUAUGAUGAUGGGCGCAGAGCUCAACAAAGAGCUUCAAUGCAUCCUGGCACCACUGUAACAGGGGGUUGGAGAGGCGGAUGAUUCAGUUGGCGUCGCUAUGGACUUGUCUGUUCUGGCGUCCAUGGUGACGGGUGUCAAAGAAAUGCAGGCCCGACACGACCAGAAGUGGCAGGCGCUCAAGGAACAGCGUGAGUCCGCCAGCAGGGUGUACCAAAAGUUGAAGGACAAUUGCUCGCAGCUGCGCGAAUGGCAUGGCAAGCAGUUCAAGGUACUCAUGAGGCAGCAAGAGACGCUCCUGAUGACAAGGGAAGAUGUGAUGGCCCGCGAAACGUGUCUCGUGGACCGCAAAGCACUCCUAGACGCCAGGGAGCAAGAGAUCUCUCUCCGGGAGGAGAAGCUCGAAGCCACCCUUUGUGCCAAGGACGACAAUCUGGAGGCUCUUGUACGACAGUGUACCAAGGAGUUGGAUGACAAGCACGGAGCUGCCCUGGACGCCCUUGCCACAGACUAUACCACCCAAUUGAAGAAGCUCACUGAAGACCUGGCUGCCGCAUUUGCUGCCAAGACUGGCCUUUACCAGCGGGUGGCUAAACUGACCGAGGACCUUGCCAGGAGCACCAAGGAGCUGGAGCCCUCAAAGACGAAGCACGGAAGGCAGAUGUUCUUCUGACCAACACGUGGUCACAGCUCUCCUCCAAAGUCCAGAUCCUUGAGACCGCUAACGACACCAUCACGGAUCUGAAGGCCAGGAUCGGCACCUUGGAAAGCUCGGCAGAGUCCAUCGAAGCCCGUCAACAGUUACGGACCAAAGAUCUGGACACUGCCAAGCGCCUCCAGAAAGAUGCAGAAGACCAGGUGGCGAGUCAAUCCGAACAGGUCAAUCUCUUGAUCAGGAGCUUGAUUGACAUCGCCAUGCGCCUUGCUGCCCAGACUGUAGUGAUGGGCAUGGAUGGGCCAGCUUUCUCGAUCAACAGGCAUGCGGUUCCUAGCGCCAAGUUGGGAGUCUUCUUCAACGAGCUGAUCGACAAGCUGAAGGUGCAUGAAGAGGGAAGGGCCAAGCGCUUCGAGAUCGAGUCCCGGAAGCUCGCCCACGACGCCCUCCUCAUGGUCCUGAGCAAUAUUGCCUAUCGCCAUCAAGAUCUUGACCUCGACGAUGGUUUCAGGAAGCCGUCGGUGGGUGCCGAUGUCACAGCUACCAAGGAGAAAGCCGCCCCUCGGGCCGCCAAGUUCCUCCACAUCCCAACAGCUUCACGCAGUCGUCAUACCAAGUGAUGAACUGUUGUUGCUCUCGUGCUAUCCUGUAAUAAGACAUGACAUAUGCUUUGUGUUUAGGUACUGUACUAUUUUAUGCUUGUGUGGAACUGAUUUCCUCUGUUGAACCAUAAAUGCCUGUUUAUCCCUUUGAGCUUAUACACCUGUGUUCGUACGAUUAGUCCCUAUAUAUGUUGUGGAUGCUUGCCGGUAUCAUAUUGUCGCGAUUGUCGUAAGUGUCUGGCCCCUAACACUCAUCUUGGCAUGGAUGCAUUGCUUCAAGUUUUUCCUAGGUAGCUCUCGACGCACCCUCUCAUUCUGUGAUCAUGGCUCGAGACAGAACGAUGGUGCAGACAAAGAAACUAGACAAGGUUCCAUCACACGAGGGUUUUCAUAAUACGAACACUUACUAAAUCCAAGGCAUAAACGAUCGCAAAAAUCUAAGAAGCAUCAAUAAGAAAUGAUAGUGUGAACUUAGCUUUUGUUCUCGCUCCUCCUCAUCCCUUUUGGCUGCGUGCAUUUGGUGUGCCCGCGAUGUCCCAAAGGAUGGAAGCCAAACAAAUGUCUCUCUGGUUCCCAGCAGGGACCAACGCACGUCAUGCGGGUCUGGCGGGCAGUGGGAUAUAGUGUUGGGCUCUUCCGGUCCAUUUUCCUCUUCCCCACUCCUUCCAAGCAACCCGGCAACAACCUUCACAUGGAUCACGCCAAUGCGGACGGCCUUGCCGAAGCACACUUGCCGGGGCGUCGAUCAAUGGAUUCAUACCAGCGUUUUACUCAGGAUUUCCCCAAGCUGGGUAAAUGAUGAACCGAGUAUUGCACAGUACUCAUCGACAUUGACGGCGCCAGGGCCAAAGCGGCUCAGUUGUUGAUGAACGAGAGAGAUGGAAAAGAGGAGCCUCGCACCUGCGCACCUUGUCUCUUCUCUCCGAACAACGCCUGAGCAGUGGUCAUGGUGCAUGGGGCGCCGACAGGAGCAUACCACCACCGGCAACGAUCUUCGUUGUGACUGCGACUACGCCGGAAUGAAGUAAUGGAUAAGGCGGGUGUGGGGACGGCCUGCUCCCUCACUCCAUCUUGAUAUAUCCAUAGGCGUCAGUGGCGCAAAAAGCUUCGACUGGGCUACCACGGAUAUGACACGCGCCUCACGCCUUCGGGUUCGCGCAAGUGAUCCCCCUACCUGGCGCGCCAAAGAUGUCGCGGGAAACCACAGACACCUAUGGGACCAAGAGCCCCUUUCUGGUUCGGUAGGGGGAUGGCACGUUGCACAAAGAGCGAAAAAACAUGAGACGACAGGACAGAGAUCACACAGGCAAUUUUACCCAAGUUCGGGCCACCGUGAGGCGUAAAACCCUACUCCUGCUUUGGUGAAUUGAUGUGGAGAUAAUGGUGGUGAACGCAACUCGCUUGCCCGGCAGGGUUGCCUUGGGCGAGAGCGGUUACGCGCCUAUGAGUGUAUAGAUGUCUAGUUUCUCCAACCGAGGGUCCAACCCUUUCUACGGUUGCCACAGGCCUCCUUUCAUAGACAAAGGGGUCACCACAGUGGAAAAUCAGUCGUUAUGCAUUGAUUAGAUCGCAAACAGUGCUAUCAUACCUAACUCUGUAGGCUGAUAGAGCACAUUAAAUGCGCCACUCAACGUCACAUUGCAGCUUGCCCGGCAGGGGCUGCCAAGCUAUUUUGCCAGCUUUGCAUCUGCUCGCUCGACACGUUGCAGGACGGAUGUCACUUGUAGGCUUUUUUGUAUGAAAUGGCUGUCAAGUGGUGGAUAGCAGCCACUUAGACACCUUGGAGCUUGAAACUGCACAGAUCGAUGACUUGGGUCGUGCUGAGGUGGUGCGGUGGGUCGGCUCUGUCUCCGUGAGUCCAGGCAGGCCUCCCGGGACGCCUCGAAAGCUUGCUUCCGGGGUAAACCCCGUCCUCGCUAGGCUCGCCUACCCAGCAAGGGAGGCUUUUCUCUUGGUGUGUCUUGCUUCUCUAGCUUCUCUUGGUCUUCUUGAUCCGCAUGUUGGAUCCUUGAAGAUCUGAUCUCUUGUGCUUUGCCCGACCUUGGUGCUACAAUCUUGCUCUCGUGCCUACGUCUUCAUCGUUCGUGCACGAGUCAAGGUAAAAUGUAUACCCUUGUAUGUUUGCCCAUACAUUAACCAUAUCAAUACUAGGUUCUACCUUGAUUUGUUCAGCUGGUUUAGGUGUUCUAAUAUAACUUUUAUUAACCAUAGUUGAAACUUUAGCAUGUUGCUUUAUCCUUACAGGGAAAGGUGGUUUUUUCAAUAUAAGUAGUAGGAUCAACUGGAUUAACAUUAUAAAUUAUAGUUUCAUCUUUACCAACUAUAGGUUCUUUAAUUUCUUCUUUCAUAGGUGGGUGAUUGUCAGUGUCAAAGCUGGCGGAUCUCGGGUAGGGGGUCCCGAACUGUGCGUCUAAGGCGGAUGAUAACAGGAGGCAGGGGACACGAUGUUUUACCCAGGUUCGGGCCCUCUUGAUGGAGGUAAAACCCUACGUCCUGCUUGAUUUAUUCUUGAUGAUAUGAGUAUUACAAGAGUUGAUCUACCAUGAGAUCGGAGAGGCUAAACCCUAGAAGCUAGCCUAUGGUAUGAUUGUAUGUUGUCCUACGGACUAAAACCCUCCGGUUUAUAUAGACACCGGAGGGGGCUAGGGUUACACAAGGUCGGUUACAAAGGAGGAGAUAUACAUAUCCGUAUUGCCUAGCUUGCCUUCCAUGCCAAGUAGAGUCCCAUCCGGACACGGGAUGAAGUCUUCAAUCUUGUAUCUUCAUAGUCCAAUAGUCCGGUCAAAGGACGUAGUCUGACUGUCCGGAGACCCCCUAAUCCAGGACUCCCUCAGUAGCCCCCGAACCAGGCUUCAAUGACGAUGAAUCCAACGCGCAGUGUUGUCUUCGGCAUUGCAAGGCGGGUUCUUCUCCAUAUUUCGAACGUUUGUAAAGCAGUGACCGGCCCCAUAAAUGUUUGGACCUCUUGGCUUCUGUGCCCAAUAAGGGCUAUUUCCCACGCGUCGAAUGAAUACGAGGCGCCAGGGCAUUUUUACAUUCGCCCCCUAGCCAAAUAAAUAAAUUGUCUAUUAAAAGGAUGGGGAUUCUCAGAUCCGAUCCACACCAUCCUCCCCCAGCGAGAAUCCAUCAGAGCGCGCUUCGGAAAGAUCCAUUCUAGCAUGGCCGAGCUCCGCAGCUCCUCCUCCCGCCCCCGUAGCCCUAAGCCCGGUGAUUGGGAGAGGUGUUCUGUCCCACACAGUCGAUUAAUCGAACUACAGACUAAGGGAUUUCUCCCUCCAGCAUACAUGGUGCCCGUUUGAGCCGGGCUUGCCACCUACAAUGGCGGGGAGCAAGCGGAGAGCUUCCCCAGUCCCUCUACGGGGGAGCGGGUCUGCCUUGUUCCCUAUUUAUUAAGGGGACUCGGAUUUCCAAUUUAUCCGUUCCUCCGUGGACUGUUGGAGUUCUACGGCCUCCAAUUACACAAUUUCACCCCUGCCUCCAUUUUACACAUCGCCGGCUAUGUUGCUCUUUGCGAGUUGUUCCUGGGCUGCGAGGCUCAUUUCGAGCUAUGGAAAAGGCUAUUUGCCUCAUCCCUCGCACACAGAGGGGGUCACUUUAUCAAGUGGGCGGAGCCGAAAUAUGGCGCAUCGCCAGAACUGGAUACCUGUCCGGUACCUCGAAGAAGUCGUCCGAAGACUGGCCUUCGGAAUGGUUUUAUAUGGAGGACGUUCCCCUUCCGGACCCUGUUCGGCGGGGUCUUCCUGAGUUCAGCAAUGCCCCUCUGAAGAAACGCCGAAGUUGGCGCCCAUGGAGCCCCUAGGACGAAGACAAUGGAGAAGUCCUUUACCUGAUGAACCGGAUUAAAGCACUGGCUCAAUCAGGAUUGACAGUAAUCGAAGUUAUGUCAAUAUGCAUAAUGUGGGGAGUGCAACCACUUCAAUAUCGAGGGCACCCCUUGUGGUGUUUUAACGGGGCGGAUGACGCCACCCAUUGCGGGCGUAAGGGUCCGGACAAUGCUGCCACUUUAGCAAAAAUUCUGUCUGAAUUGUUCAAGGGAGAGGAAGAGGAGUUCAUCCGCAUCAAGCCAUGGGAUGGAUUCUCCAUGUACAAUCCUCUAAGAUGGGUGAGUUAUAUUUCCUUACUCCCAUUCCUUCCCGCAUUCUUUGUCAUAGGUAUUCACCUUGCCGUUUUGCAGCAGGAACUGCGAAAAGCCAUAAAGGAGGUCAGCAGCCCCUCCCCACAACCAGAGGACCCUAACCGGGCCCUCGACUACGGACUCGAAGAAGAUCCGGUCAUAUUCGUGGAGCUGAUAGACCAGCAGUUCUAUCAGUUAAGCUGCGAUGAUGCCAUGGUGGCCAUUACGGCCAACUAUCCCGGACUGCUUCCUGCAUCGCAUGUAAGAAAAACCAAAAAAAUCCCAACUCCAAAAACUAGGAUCCCCUUUUAGACACUUCACCUACCAUAUACAUAUGGCAUUUUUACAGGGAAGGCAUUCGGAAUGCCCUGUCGAGCCCGCAGCAACUCGCCAACAAGAGGCACCGAGGCCGGGCAGGCCAAAAAGGAAGGCGGUCAGGACGGAGACAACGGCGCAAAGGUAUAACAGAAACCACGCUCCGUGGUUGUCGUCUUUCUCGAAAUGUAAUGACGCCUGUGUUUCUUUAACAGAAAAAAUGCUCACCGGAAUGUGUCCAUCGAUGUUGCUAAUCACGCUUCCACCAGUCGAGCGCUAGGACUGGACAUAGAGGCGGAAGCCGAUAUGGGGAGGGCGCAAGAUAAUCCUCCUACAGAGGAUGCGAAUAGAUUAUCCGCCACAAAUUCAGAAGUAGAAAGCGCCAUGAAUCAUAGGCGCCGCCGGGCCGUACUCCGCGACGCUUGUUUCUCAACAGAGGCAUUUGAUGCCUUCAAUUCUGGAGAGGCGUACCUCCGUGCUGCUCAAGAUGGUCUAGCCAGAGCCACGGAUCAGUAUGUAAAGGAUGUACGGGUAAGUGAAUCUGACGAUUAUAUUUAUCAGAACUGAUUUAAGGAUCAUCUUUAUUGGGCAGGUUCUUACAGAGAAGAAUACUUGGCUGUCACAGGAGCUGGAGGAAUGCAAGACCCAACUGCGGGCCACUGUUGCCGCAUUGAAGGAAUCGAAAAAGUCCUCUGCUGGUAACAUUUACUUUUAAAGAAUGAUGGUUACCAUAUAGUGUGCGGUGUGGCUGUAGAUCUAACAAUAGAUGUUGUAGAUGAAUCCGGAGAAAAUCCAGAGGACCAGCAUGUCGUGCGACAACUACAGGCUGGCGAACGCAUGCUGACUGAGGUCAGGCGGGAGAAAAACAAUCUCCAAGAUGGCAAUACCAAGUUGAGCGUGGAACUGAAAGACGUUCGAGCCCAGCUUGCAGACUCCGAGAAGGAGAAUAAGCGGCUUCGACGCGGCAUUUUUAGUAAGUGCUUGAACGAAUCCUUUUGAAGGAGUUCGGCGAAGAAGCCGACUAACAACGUUAUGUCUGUAGGUAUGCUGACGGGUCGUCCCGCGGAGGAAAUGCCCGCGUCUGCGGGUGAUCUUCUAUCCGAGCUCUCACAACUGCACGAACAAGUUCGACAGGUGAUGCAAGGUGUUGCCCAGGCCUUGUGGCCAUCCGUCUCCUUGCCAGAAGGCAUUGCAGAGCUUACAGAGAAGCUCAAGGGAGCACGGCGGCGCUUCCGAUUAUGGAAGAUAUCGGCCUGCCAUCAAGGUGCCAGGGAAGCCUGGGCCAUGGUGAAGACGCGGUAUACCAAGGCUGACCCAAAUCACAUGGCCGAGGUCGGACCUGUGGGGCCCGACGGAAAAGAGAUUCCCGUUAGCUUAGUUUAUGGGCAAGUAGAAUUAGGCGCAAAGUAUUCCCAACAGGGUUGUAGGCUAGACCGCCUGUUGGAUGGUAUAGAAGAGGAAUUUAGUCAGUCUGCAUGACUAUGUAAUUAAAGUGACAUGUAUAAUGCCGUCUAGCCGGAUUGUAGAUCAUUUAUCAUGGCCGACCUUUUCGCUUCAACCUCAGGACCCGAUAGUCUGGAGUGUAUCCGAAUACCCGCUCAGUUAUAUAAGAACCGGGAUAUGCGUGGAGACUAGGCGUAGGGGUCAUUAGUGCUUGAACAGACAAGUGCCCAACUAGUUAUGUUAUAUUAGAUGGGUGGUAAGAAACAUCUUCCAGGGAGAAUAGUUCCGUUAAGGGUUCCUUUCCCUAGGUACGCAUGCCCUAAAGUGCAUGUCCGGACUGCGAUAAGAAACGUAGGAAAAAACAUCUGGGGCACAUAUGGAAAAUAAAUAAAAAUCAUCUUUUGUUCACCGACCGAAUAUUCCCUUAAGAAUGCUAGCUUUCGGCUUCACCCAGUCUGAGGUACACAUCUGGCUGACCCGGCAGUAACAAUCGCAGAGGUGCUCCCCUUAUGCCCUAGCCAAAUUAACGGGAACGUGGGGCAUAAAUACAAGAGCCAGGCAACCCAACUUGGCCAAAAUUGAAGUCAUAUCGAUGCAUAUAAUGGCAAGAAAAGGUACAUGCGGAAGUAUAACACAUGUGCGAGGCAUGAGGCCCAGAUAAAUAAUUAAGCUUCUGUGAAAGAAGCCCCCAGGUAUGAUGAGCGCGGCUAGCACAUCUGUAAUGUGCAAGCGAGGCACAAGUUGGCCCUUGAAGGCCUAGAGAAAGAAUAAAAGAAAGAAAGAAAGAAAAAUGAGACAGAUAAUGCAUAUGCAAAAAAUGGACAGAGGAAGGGGACAGACAUAGAGUCCGGCGCUAGGCGUAGAAUCUUCGGAGCCUGGCCGCGUUCCAUAGGUUCGGCUCGAGUCGAUUAGUCGAUGCAUCCCGCAGUCGGUACGCUCCACCGGUCAGAACUUGGUCAAUAAUGAAGGGAUCUUACCAUUUGGGCUCGAGCUUGUUCUUUUUCUUAUCUGGCAGGCGUAUAACUAGUUCGCCAACAUUAUAAGUUUUGGUCCGUACUUCUCUGCUUUGGUAUAUGUGAGCCUGUUGCUGAUAAAAUGCGGAACGGACUUUUUCCACGUCGCGCUCCUCCUCCAGGGUGUCUAGACUGUCCUGCCAAUCGAGCUCGGUUUCUCUUUCUUCGUACAUGCGCACUCGAUGUGAGUCAUGAAUUAUGUCACAGGGAAAGACUGCCUCUGCGCCGUACACCAUAAAGAAGGGUGUAUAUCCGGUACUACGAUUCGGCGUGGUCCACAGCCCCCAGAGUACGGAGUCGAGCUCCUCUACCCAGUGCGUGUUAGACUCCGUUAAUGAACGCACUAAUCUGGGUUUAAUGCCGCUCAUUAUAAGACCGUUUGCUCACUCAACUUGGUCGUUGGUUUGUGGGUGGUAGACUGAAGCAUAAUCGAGCUUGAUGCCCAUUUUGCUGCACCAGAGUUUUACCUCAUCGGCCGUGAAGUUCGUGCCUUUGUCAGUGAUGAUGUUGUGGGGGACGCCAUAACGGUGUACGCCCCCGGAUAUGAAGUCUAUCACCGGUCCGGAUUCGGCUGUUUUAACAGGUUUGGCUUAUAUCCAUUUGGUGAAUUUAUCCACCAUGACCAGUAAGUAUUUUUUCUUGUGGGUUCCCCCUUUAAGGGGUCCAACCAUGUCAAGCCCCCAGACCGCGAAGGGCCACGUAAUGGGGAUUGUUUGGAGGGCGGUGGGUGGCAUGUGGCUUUGAUUUGCAAAAAGCUGGCAACCGGCGCAGCGUUGGACCAAGUCCUGUGCAUCUGCCCGGGCCGUCGGCCAAUAGAAUCCUGUACGGAAGGCCUUGCUUACAAGAGCCCGGGCUGCGGCGUGGUGACCGCCGAGUCCGGCGUGAAUUUCUGCCAAAAGGUUCCGCCCUUCCUCUUCGGAGAUGCACCUUUGAAGAACUCCGGUAGUGCUUUUUUUGUACAAUUCUCCCUCAUGGACCCUGUAGGCCUUGGAUCGCCGCACUAUGCAGCGUGCCUCAUUUUGGUCCUCCGGAAGUUCCUGCCUAGUUAGGUAGGUCAGGAAUGGUUCUGUCCACAGGGCUAUGAUGGCCAUUAUUACGUGGGCUGAAGGUGUUGUUUCGGUGGGAGAGCCUCCGAUUAUGUCAGAGUGUUCGGUGUUGAGUGUUGUGGACGGUUCCAGACUAAUAUUGCCGGUGUCCCCCUCCCAUACCAUGGAUGGCUUAAACAACCUCUCUAAAAAGAUGUUGGGGGACCACAUCGUGUUUUGCGCCGAUGCGGGCGAGGAUAUCCGCCGCCUGAUUGUUUUCUUGAGCCACAUGGUGAAAUUCAAGCCCCUCGAACCGAGCUGACAUCUUUAGGACGGUGUUACGACAGGCCGCCAUCUUCGGAUCCUUGGCAUUAAAGUCUCCAUUUAUUUGGGAUAUUGCAAGGUUCGAAUCCCCAUGCACCUCCAGGCGCUGAAUGCCCAUGGAAACUGCCAUCCGAAGACCAUGUAACAGGGCUUCGUAUUCGGCUGCAUUGUUGGAGUUUGUGUACAGUAUCUGCAGUAUGUAUUGAACUGUAUCUCCGGUUGGGGACGUCAGGACGAUGCCGGCCCCCAGUCCAGCCAGCAUUUUGGAGCCGUCGAAGUGCAUAAUCCAAUUGGAGUAUGCGCCGUACUCUUUAGGGAGUUCGGCUUCCGUCCAUUCGGUGACAAAGUCGGCCAAUACUUGCGAUUUAAUGGCUCGCCGGGGUUUGUAUGUUAUGUUGAAUGGGAGGAGCUCAAUGACCCAUUUGGCAAUCCGGCCCAUGGCGUCGCGGUUGUUUAUAAUAUCAUUGAGUGGCACCUCCGAGGCUACUGUAAUCGAACACUCUUGAAAGUAGUGUCGCAGUUUCCGAGAUGCCAUGAAUACCGCAUAGGCUAUCUUUUGAUAAUGUGGGUACCGUGAUUUGCAUGGAGUGAGGAUAGUGGAUACAUAAUAUACCAGCUUUUGAAGAGGGAAUUUAUGUCCAUCCGCUUCUCGUUCGACGACGAGCACUGCGCUUACAACUUGAUGAGUUGCCGCAAUGUAUAAUAGCAUUGGUCCGCUGAUGUUUGGCGUGGCCAGGAUUGGGUUGGUUGCCAGUAUGGCUUUUAUUUCUUCCAAUCCGGCUGUGGCAGCGUCCGUCCACUCGAAGUGUUCGGUGCGCCGAAGGAGGCGAUAAAGGGGUAAUGCCUUUUCUCCUAAGCGGGAGAUAAAGCGGCUUAGAGCCGCCACUCAUACAGUUAACUUCUGGAUUUGUUUGACGUCUGUUGGGGUGGCCAACUGUGACAAAGCUCAGAUUUUGGCCGGAUUAGCUUCAAUACCUCUACUGGAGACAAUGAAACCCAGGAGCUUUCCGACUGGUACGCCGAAAAUGCAUUUUUUCGGAUUGAGCUUGAUGUCGUAUGUUCGGAGGUUGUCGAAUGCGAGCCUCAAGUCGUCUAUCAGAGAGUCGAUGUGUUUAGUUUUGACGACAACAUCAUCUACGUAUGCCUCUACUGUUUUGCCGAUUUGUUUCUCCAGACAUGUCUGAAUCAUGCGCUGAUAUGUUGCACCGGCGUUUUUGAGCCCGAAAGGCAUUUUGUUGAAACAGAAGGGACCGUAUGGUGUGAUGAAUGUCGUUGCGGCUUGGUAGAACUCUGCCAUCUUGAUUUGGUGGUAACCAGAGUAUGCGUCGAGGAAACACAAUGACUCGUGUCCUGCGGUAGCAUCAAUAAUUUGAUCAAUGCGGGGGAGGGGGAAGGGAUCCUUUGGGCAAGCUUUAUUGAGGUCCUUGAAAUCGACACAAAGGCGCCAGGAUUUAUCCUUCUUUGGUACCAUCACCAGGUUUGCUAGCCAGUCCGGGUGUUCUUUGAUGAAUCCGGCCUCUAAUAACUUGGCUAGUUCCUCUCCCAUGGCAUGUCUCUUAGGUUCAAAGAAACGCCGAAGAGCCUGCUUGACCGACUUGAAUCCCUUUAGGAUAUUGAGGCUAUGCUCGGCCAGCCUGCAUGGGAUUCCUGGCAUGUCUGAAGGAUGCCAGGCGAAUAUGUCCCAAUUCUCACACAGGAAAUCUCGUAGUGUGGCGUCCACGGCGGGGUUUAACUGUGCCCGGAUGGAGGCUGUUUUUAUAGGGUCCGUUGGGUGGACUUGGAAUUUGACUAUUUUGUCCGCUAGUUUAAAAGAGGUGGACUUGGAUCUCUUGUCGAGUAUCACGUCGUCCCUGUCCACCGUGGAGCAUAGCUUGGUUAAUUCCUCGGCCGAGAGGGCUUCGGAUAAUGCCUCGAGGGCCAGUGCAGCUGUUUUGUUUUCGGCGCGGAGUGAUGUGUCCGGAUCACUGGCGAUAAUGAUGAUUCCGUUGGGCCCGGGCAUUUUGAGCUUCAUGUACCCAUAAUGGGGUACGACUUGGGAGAUCGUGAAUGCCUCACGUCCUAAAAGGGUGUGGUAUCCACUUCUGAACGGGGCCACUUGAAAUGUGAUUUCUUCGGACCUAUAGUUCUCUGGCGUACCGAAUACCACAUCUAGUGUGAUUUUCCCAGCGCAUCGUGCUUCCCGACUGGGUAUGAUUCCUCUGAAGGUUGUUCUACUUUGCUCAAUGCGGUUCCAGUCUAUUUCCAUUUUUUGAAGAGUUUCCUCAUAGAUGAGGUUUAAUCUGUUGCCGCCGUCCAUGAGUACUUUGGUGAGUCGAAAGCCGUCCACAAUUAGACUGAGGACCAGUGCGGCUGGUGCUCUGGCUGUUCGGAAUUUAGGUUCGUCACUGGCAUUGAAGGUAAUAGCCGUGUCACUCCAUGGAUUUAUUGCUGCUACGUGGCAGAUUUUGGCAAUGCUGCAGAGUGUUUGCUUGCGCCUAUUAUUUGACGCGAAGGUCUCAAAGACUGUUAAAACAGUAUUGUUAUCAACGAGAUGGUGCUCUAUGGUAUUUGGGAUAAGAAGAUCCUCACCACUUUUGGCCACCUGCCGGAGUAUCCAACAUGCUCUAAGGCUGUGCGUUGGUAUUGUAUCCGCUGUGCUAUGAAUUUUGCACGGUCCAUUAAGCCAUCCCUCCAAUACGGUUCCGUGCCCUAUAGAGGGUUUUUGUUUCUUUGUAAUGAACUCGUGUGUCUUAUGAUAGUGCACCCUUUUACCUCGGACUGGGUGCAUAUUCGGAGCCGGAUUAUCCCAAAAUUUCGUUUCGGUUUUCCAGGCACUUUCCAUCACACAGUACUUUCGUACUAUGGACGCCAAGUCGGCAAAGCGUGAUAUGUCACGGCGACUUAUGGCGUUAAGGAUUCCCUUGUCCGUGCAGUUAUUGCGGAAAAGUGAGACUGCGUCUUCCUCGCGGCAGUCCUUAACCUUGUUCAUCACAAGGAGGAACCUGGCCCAAUAAUGAUGUAUUGUUUCAUGGGGCUCUUGCCUGAUGUGGGAAAGAUCGUUUAUGUGUGGGUGGGUGGGUGGAUUUGAGUUCGGACCCCUACCCGAUCUGAGACCCAGGGGCCGAGGGGUUUCCGAUCUUGGAAGUUCGGAUUCCGGUAUGUUGCCCGAUGAGUCUGGCCCGCUGCCUGUCUCUAGGUUUAGGGUUUGGUUGAUGUCCUCCCAUAAACGGUUGUCCGGCUCGGAGAGCUCAGGAAUUCGGACAUAGUUAGUCCUCAAGAUAGAGGAAGAAUCUCCGCAUUGUUCCUCCACCACCGCAACAUGAUGGGUGACCGAUGGAGAGUUAAUCUCCCUUCGAUCGGGUUUAAGCCCAAUCCGAUCAUAGUCCAUAGCGACUCCCAAGGCGGCGAUGCGAUCCAAGAGUUCUUUUAGGGAAGAGAGCUCCAUUGGAUCCAUCUGCUCGACAAAUUCCGAGCCGACGUGGAGGCUGUUUUUGAUGACCCGAGCAGUCAUCGUCGGUGCAGCGGCUGAACAGGCGGUCAUGACAAAACUGCCUAGCCGGAGAGUUUGGCCGACAGCCAGAGCUCCCCCGGUGGUAAUGUUGUUUUUAACAACGAGAUGAGGCAUCCUUCCUUACGGCGACGUCACAGAGGAACUCUCAAUGAAAGCACCAAUGUCGGUGUCAAAACCGGCUGAUCUUGGGUAGGGGGUCCCGAACUGUGCGUCUAAGGCAGAUGGUAACAGGAGGCAGGGGACAUGAUGUUUUACCUAGGUUCGGGCCCUCUUGAUGGGGGUAAAACCCUACGCCCUGCUUGAUUUAUUCUUGAUGAUAUGAGUAUUACAAGAGUUGAUCUACCACGAGAUCGGAGAGGCUAAACCCUAGAAGCUAGCCUAUGGUAUGAUUGUAUGUUGUCCUAUGGACUAAAACCCUCCGGUUUAUAUAGACACCGGAGGGGGCUAGGGUUACACAAGGUCAGUUACAAAGGAGGAGAUAUACAUAUCCGUGUUGCCUAGCUUGCCUUCCACGCCAAGUAGAGUCCCAUCCGGACACGGGACGAAGUCUUCAAUCUUGUAUCUUCAUAGUCCAACAGUCCGGCCAAAGGACAUAGUCCGGCUGUCCGGAGACCCCCUAAUCCAGGACUCCCUCAGUGAUAUUUAAACCACUUCUCUUUAGGGAUAUCAACAUGAGUAGCAAAAGAUUCACAAAAGGAGGCUACUAUCUCAGAGUCAAGUCCAUAUUUAGUGCUAAACUUUUGAAAAGCAUCGACAUUCACAAAAGAUUUUAAAGAAUCAAACUUAAGCUUAAUACCCGACUCUUUACCUUCCUCGAGUUCCUAACCUACAGAGUUGCGUUUAAUUCUUUUCAACAGAUCCCACCGGAAUUCAAUAGUCUUAUUCAUAAAAGAACAGGUACAAGAAGUAUCAAGCAUGGAUCGAUCAUCAUGAGAAAGCCGAGCAUAAAAAUUUUGAAUGAUAAUUUCCCUCGAGAGCUCAUGAUUGGGGCAUGAAUAUAACAUUGACUUAAGCCUCCCCCAAGCUAGAGCGAUACUUUCUCCUUCACGAGGCCAAAAAUUAUAUAUAUAAUUCCGAUCACGAUGAACUAGAUGCAUAGGAUAUUUUUUUUGAUGAAACUCCAAUUUCAGUCGAUUCCAAUUCCAAGAUCCAAUAUCAUCGCAUAGCCUAUACCAUGCCAAUGCUUUUCCCUUCAAAGAUAAAGGGAAAACCAUCUUCUUAACUUCAUCUCCGGGUAAACCUGCAAGCUUAAACAAUCCAUAAAUUUCUUCCACAUAUAUCAAGUGCAUAUCAGGAUGUUCCGUUCCAUCUCCUGCAUACGGAUUAGCUAGCAGUUGUUCUAUCAUACCCAAAGGAAUUUCAUAUUUGAUAUUUUCAGUAGGUGCAGUGGGUUGAGGGGUGACUAAUUGCGGUUCUGGUCGAGGUGAAGAUACCCUGAACAAACCCCUCAAAGGAUUAUUUUCCAUAGUAACAAGUGACAAUAAAUUUCAGCAUGUCAAUCUAUAUCUAUCUAUCUAUCUAUACCUACACUAAUUACAGACUCCCUACAAAUUACCAUGUUAAUCAGAAAUUACGAAUCGUUUAUCUGGUGGGGCCGAAUUAUUACGAUGUAGAUUAACCCAUCUAAAAUAGAAACAAGAAAAAAAUUGAACCAGCAUAUGUCAAUUAAAAGAUGAUUGGAAAGGCUCAUAGUGCCUUCAUGUGCAGUUAUUUUUUUUGAAAGGCUUUCACGUGAAGUUGGGAAAAGAGCAGCCAAAAGAAAAAAAACUAGAAACCAAAAGUUAUAUCAUUACCUUUUCUUCAAUUACAGACUCCCUAGAAAUUAUCAUGUUAAUCAGAAAUUACGAGUCGUUUAUCUGGUGGGACCGAAUUAUUNNNNNNNNNNNNNNNNNNNNNNNNNNNNNNNNNNNNNNNNNNNNNNNNNNNNNNNNNNNNNNNNNNNNNNNNNNNNNNNNNNNNNNNNNNNNNNNNNNNNNNNNNNNNNNNNNNNNNNNNNNNNNNNNNNNNNNNNNNNNNNNNNNNNNNNNNNNNNNNNNNNNNNNNNNNNNNNNNNNNNNNNNNNNNNNNNNNNNNNNNNNNNNNNNNNNNNNNNNNNNNNNNNNNNNNNNNNNNNNNNNNNNNNNNNNNNNNNNNNNNNNNNNNNNNNNNNNNNNNNNNNNNNNNNNNNNNNNNNNNNNNNNNNNNNNNNNNNUUUAUACCAUUAGCUUUUCUUUAAUUACAGACUCCCUAGAAAUUACGAUGUUAAUCAGAAAUUAUGAGCCGUUUAUCUGGUGGGGCCGAAUUUUUACGGUGUAGAUUAACCCAUCUAAAAUAGAAACAAGAAAAAAAAUGAACCAGCAUAUGUCAAUUAAAAGAUGAUUGGAAAGGCUCAUAGUGCUUUCACGUGCAGUUUUUUUUUUUGAAAGGCUUUCACGUGAAGUUGGGAAAAGAGCAGCCAAAAGAAAAAAACUAGAAACCAAAAGUUAUACGAUUAGCAUUUCUUCUUUUAAAAGAAGCCAAAUCUCUUAUUUACUAAUUCGAGGCACCUUUCAUGAUCUUUCAUUAAUUCACAUCAUCAAAAUUAAUUAAACCGUUAGAUUGUAGAAUUGACGAUCAGGAUAGAAGGAAAACAUGCUUAAGGUAGAUGGUGGAGUCCUAUGAGGGUGCUUGGAUACGUUUUAGUCCCAUGACUAAAAAUAGUGGGACUAAAACUUGCUAGCCUCACCCAUGCUUGGAUCCAAAUACUAAAGAGACUAAAAUCAAGUUAUUGAGCAUUUAUUAUCCUCCAAACCCUCCAAUCCAGAACUCGCACGUGUUAAAGGAGAGGAAUUAAAUGAGAAGAGAGAGGGCUAAUACAUAUUUUAGUAGGUUUCCUAUCACUAAAAAUUUUUAGCCUCAAGACUAGUCCUAGCCUCUCUUUAGUCAGGGGUGCUUGGAACUUUAGCCUCUAAAAGAGACUAUUUUUAGUCAGACUAAAAAUAGUCCCUUAAAUCCAAGCACCCUCUACAACAAACGCAUGGGACACGUCCCAAAACAAGGAAAGGUUCACGUAAAAAACAAGAAGGAAAUCAUGUGAAAAGAAAACAAGGAAAUCCUCCACGUAAUCCUUACGUGAAAAGAAAACAAGGAAAGACUCCACCUAUUGCCAUAAAAUUAGGAAGGAAAGCCUCCGCCUCCAUCUUUUUAAAAAGGAAGUCUCCUAUCCCACGCGUACUCAAGUCCUCCCCCAAUUGGUCUCCCUAUGUUUCCCUCAGGAAAAACAUGUUAGCGUAAUUUCCUCCAAGAUUUGACGUACGCGAGGGGUCUUCUUGGUCAAUUGCCUCCAAUUCAAUCAGCCAGGUGCAUGCUGCAGAAGUCGCAUGUGCCUAUAGCAUCUCUGGCGCACCAUAUAGGUAUGCGACUCCAUGGCUCCGUAGCACGCAGCAGCAAUGGCCCAAGUUUGCACCAUCAUGUCAGAUUUGGGCGGCCAUCCUUCGUGGUGUUGGCUGAAACUCUUCGCUCAACUUCAAAACAAGUUUCAGUUAUUUGAUCUAAGGUAAGAAACGUGAUAUUUUCAUUCCGGUCGGAUUCGUCUGCAGAUUCAAUCUCGAGAACUUUAGAUCAUAAACUCAUUUAGGGACGACUGCGGAAUUGAAUUAUAGGGGUGUUGGUCGUCCAAGACUGAUUUGAUUCAGAUUGUCGGUUUGACGCAAUAAUCAAAAUUAUUCAUAUACGUGUCAUUCUUCAACACAAGGCUGGGGUGAAUAUAUUCUGCAGGUAUGUGCGUACAUCCCUCCUCCACUGUCUUGGUAGCAGGUGUAAAGUCUAGAUAACUGUCCUCCACGUUGGGCAUCAACAUAUUAGGAUGCCAUAACGUCCAAAAGUAUUUUGUGUGGUGUGAUUAGAUCAUAGUUGUCGUCUCUGGCUAUGGCCGAUGUGGCAGAAACAAACCCUGCUAAUCUGCGUACUCUGUGUGGUAAGCUCAAGUAUAGUUGUCUCUUACAAAUACUCAUUGUUAAUCUCCCUUUCCCCUCUCUGAAAUCAAAAAAAAAUGUUCUUACUGAGAAUAGUAGAUCCCAAUAUGAGAUAUUAUUUAGUCCGUGUUUAUCUUUGGCCGGCCGGCAAGCCGCUUGCUCACAACAGUGGAAUACCAGAUCCGUGUAUUGUCUACUCCAUGGCAUCUUUAAUCCUGUGUGUGGCGUCUCAUCAGUUGGCUCAACAUGCUCAAGAAUCCUUAUUCAUAUCUCCUAGAAUAAUUUUUGAAAAAUUUGUUUCGGAUGUAUAUUUUCCACUCUUGCAAUGAUCGUAUCAAGAUACAACUAUUUCGCUUAGUUACUUAUGUAUGCAGUAUGCCUGGGUAGUAAAUAAAAAACAUAAAUUUCUUUACACGCAUUAUUUUCAAAGUAGUAGGCACGUGAGUAAUUAUUAAAUUGAGGUAUUAUCUUCUCAAAUCUGCUACACAUUAGUUAUUUUGAUGAGAAGAUGAUGCAAAAAUCGAUGCUAAACUAUGUGCAUACCCUCUAAAGUUGCAGUGUUGUUUUCUAGAGUUGGUGAUAUGUUCCUUCUAUAUGAAUUGAGAAAGGAAGAGAGGAGAAUUUACUAUGGCAGAAUGUUCGUUCUUUUAUUAGGGAAAAGCAAGUUUGAGAAGCCAGCUGCCUAACUUCCGAUCUAUUAGAUUAGAUGGAAAAAUUGCAACAUGGGACACUCAGCCAUGCAGCGAUUAAUAGUUUUCCUUUGGAUUACCCUUUCCUGCGGGCUUUUGAUUUGAGGUAAAAAAAAGUCGCAUUGCUUCGGUCUACAGGUGACUGCUUUCAUUGUUUAAUCCAUCAGGCACUUCCAUGGGUUAAUAUAUCAGGCGUAUAUGCAAAAUUCAUCUAUAGAAUAUGAUCUUUCCAUAAAUCAUUGGUUUACCGCUUAUGAAUUCAGUUGGUUUGAUUUCAUUAGGAGUAUUACUUCGCAGCAACUCUUUGUGUAGUCCUCCUAGACAUUGGCCUCCGAUCCAUGAUCUAAGUAUAUUAUUUAAUGUAAUUAAAUUCUUCUCACAGUAUGAAAUAUUGAUAUCCCUUAGAAUCUACGUGACUUUUGUAGGGCAUACGGCAGGGAAUCGGCUUUUGUCAUGGCAUACUGCCCGAGCUUGCAAGAGGAGGUGGAGCAGCAAGACGAGGAUGACGCAGGAUGUAUUCACACUCUUCCAUGUGGUCAGGCCGCGAACAUUCAUGCUGGAGUCCUGUGUUAAAUCUAACAUAUGUUCUCUGUACUUUUUCUAUGUUAAUCUCAUUUACACUCCAGGGUAAAAACAAGAUCUUAUAUGCACAACUAUUACAAUAAUAAUAGGCCAGUAUAAGGAUAAGAAGUAUCCUUCUAUUUCAAAGAAAAUGAAUGUUUAUUUGAGAUAUUAACUUCCCGUGAGGUGUGAUGCAAGGAAGCAUGAUGAAAUCAACAUUACAAAUAUGUAUUUUUAAGUUUCGGCUAGAAACAUGCAUAUUUGCAUCUCGAAGAUGGUGUAUUGUUUGUAUAUCAUCACUCAUUUAAGAUCACAACUCCAUGCAUGAUCAAUGAAAUUGAAAUUUGUAAAGCUCCAUUUUCAUGUCUACGUCUUUUAAUUCUUAUAUGUCUUGCUUUGAUAUUUUAUAUAGGCUUGGCCUAACAAUUUUCGUAAAUAUGGCUCCGUUUACCUUCUAUUGGUCUAUGGGGAACAUCAUACGCCUAUAGUCAUAGAAACAAACAUCAAAUUCUAUCUAUUGAGGUUAGUUGUGUCAUUUGUCUACUUUAAUUUUAUGGUGAACUAUUUGCUGAUAUUCCAAAAAUUGAACUUCCACGUGAAAAAAUCCAUGGAAAAUUGGAGUGUGAAACCACAUCAAUAAAAAUAAUAAUUAUGGGUCAUAUUUGAUGAUUACUAUUUUCAUGAUUACAAAGUGUAUCUACGAGAAUAUACGACAGUGAUAAAAAUGUAGACAAAUAUCUAGCCCGUGCAGGUGCACGGGUUAAUGACUAGUGAGUUUAAUCUUUAUCUAAUCUCGCAUCACGGUUAUUGAUAACAGUUAAAAUAAAAAUAUAAAAAUGUUUGAAAAGGCACCUAUGCUUUCACGUACGGGAGGAGGAAUAGGCACAGGAAAAAAAGUGGCUUCUUGGUAUAGAAGGAAUAUACAAAUCCAAUCUCGCUAACAGAAAGAAAAAAUGAAUCCAGUUGCCUGGUGGCCAGGGGCUCCUCUCCUUCCUCAAGCCUCUCCCGUUCAUGGUGACUUCUUUUGAUCUGGCGAGCCUCGUGUGUUAUUCUCUCCUUCCGUGUGCCCCUAAUCUUGCUGUUUCUCUUUCUUCCCAAUAGCAACCAGGCGAGCUACAUGUUGUACGAUUUAAACGCUGACAUGAAGAUAAUCAGUAGGCGUCGGUCACCCCAUGCUAUGCUUCAGAUCGGUUCCUCACCUAAACACUACCAUCAUUAUGGGAAAACACUGAUGUGAUCUCCUUUCUGGGAAAAGAGAAAAAGUCAACCACGCACGGCAAGUAAAAUCCACCGGGUAAUGCCGAUCUCUAAUCUGUCCAAGGUUCGUGGAUUUCUUAAACUUUGCUAUCGUUUCGAGACUUCUACUCAUAUAUUCAUCUAUUUUCAAAUUCUAUGUAAUAUAAAUUUAAUAUUUUGGAAGAUCUUUUUUGGCAGAUUCUAGAUCGCCAUCUCUCUGGAGCAUGUAUUGCAUGGCCUAGCAGCAACAGCUCAACGUCAUCUCUCAUAUCUCAACCGUGGAAGCAUGUAUGGAUGUGUGGCAGCGGCAUGCGGGACGCAGGUUUUGAAACAGUCACCAUCACAUGUUCAAGUGAUGGAUGCGUGUCUCAAGCCCUCCAACUACCAUCAGAAUCUCUUUAACAAGCAUAACAACGUGGUUAGGUCUCACGAAAUCAGGUGACCUGAAAAUAACUGCUUGUAUCAGUGGAAGGCAUGUGACAUCUUGCCAAGAUAAACUGUCAACUACCGAGCAAAGGAAGUUUUCUGGAAAUUCAUAGGGUGGCCAGUGGACUGCUACCUUAAUUUUUUCCCUCUCGAGUUCUAAUGUACGUAUGCAUUCUCUAUUCUUAGAGAUACAUUGUUCUCAACUUGCAAGCUGAAUGCGCUUUGAAAUUGACUGAAAAUACUUUGAAUUAGAAUUCUAUUUGCUAAAAAAUUGCUAAAUUUCUUCAGUAGUUUUAGUUUUUUCUACAUCAGUAAUAGAAUACCAUCGUUGUUUUAGUUAUGUUCUUUGUAAGUUUACCAGUUGUUUAGAUGAUAAUUGAGAACAGUCUCAAUGGUAGAAAUUGAAUCACCAUUUGUACUAUUUAGGAUACAAGAUUUUGAACAUAACAAUUUAUUUUCUUUUCAGUAUAGGCUGCUUGCCCAUAUAAGUUUCUUUGAUUCAGUUAAUUAUUUCUCUGCUGCUACACUUAUAUAUUAGGCUUCAGAUUUUCUAGAUUUCUGCAGGUUAUCGGACAAGUUAUUUCACCCAUUCAUCUAAUUACAACUUCGCAAGUUUACAAAAAACAAUGUCGAGACAAAUUGUCGAGUGCCGAGCAAAGGGAGUUUUGAAGCAUAUUCAUAUGGUGGCCAGUGGACUAUAUUUAUUUUUUCGAUGGAAGUUCAAAUGAAUGUGUCCAUUGCCUAUUAUAUUAUUGUUACUGUGUUCCCAGGUUACAAACUGAAUGUGCUUUCAAAUUGGAAACCCAAUGCGACUUGAAAAACUUCUAAAUAGACUUUUAUUUGCUAAAUUUUUAUUAGUUUUAGUUUUUUUUCCCAGCAACUAUGGAAUGCCACCAUGUUUUAGCUGUGUUCUUUGUACAUUUACCAGUGGUUCAGCUGAUAGUUCAGAACAAUCUCAAUGGUAGAGAUUGAAUCACUAUUUGCACAAUUUAGGACACAGGAUUUUGAACAUAGUUUUAGUUCUUUGAUCCAGUUAAUUAUUUCUCAGCUGCCAGACGGAUAUAUUAGGCUUCACAUUUUGUAGAUUUCUGCAGGUUGUCGGACAACUUAUUUCAUCCAUUCAUCUAAUCACAACUUCGCAUUCACAGAAAACAUUGAGUCCCUUACAAUCAGUUUGCCCCGAGGUCAGAUGUUGUUGUGAUGUCUCAGGUAAAUGAAUGGAUUCCCUAAAACAUUGUGCGAAUGAACUAUAUUGAUUGCUAAGUGUAUCCCGGAACUUCAAAAGCAAGAAUUUGGCUGAACUGAGAUUAAUCUGAAGUGAAAAGAGAGAUAAACACAGCUGCACAGCUGUGCUGCAACCUUUCCAAGUCUUCGAUUAAUUGAGACUAUGGAUAGAUAUCCCUAUCGUCCUGUAAUUCAUGCUGUCAAUAUGGUAUAUAUCUCUUCACAGUUCCACUGUGUCCUCUCCAAGUGUUUUAUUAAUUGAGACUAUGGAUUACGUGGCCAGUAGCUACUACACGGUCGAUACUGCGCUUCGGGUUGAAUGUGCAACCAUACCCUAACAUUUAUGUGUAUUCUCAUAUUUGCUUCUUUUGUGGGCUUUCUACGUCCUAGCACAGGAGCGGUACGACCAUAACAUGUUGCCAAGCUUUGCGCCCUACUACCUUAGUCACUGUUGCUGCUUAUCAUAUCAACCGCACCAAGCCUCUAUAGCUACCAGAUACUCUACGACCUUUUUAAUGGCGUUGUCCCGACUAGCAAUAGUUCAGUGACAUGACCAUCCAAUCAUCCAGUGACUGGAUUUCUUCAAGAUUUUCAUUUGAUGAAAAGCCUCCUCAGUGGUCGAGUUAUCUUUGCCACAUUGGUGCCAUCAUGUGUGAUUAGCAACGAUGGAGAGUACCCUAUCUAGCCGACAAUAUCCUGUGACUAACUUUUUUGGCAAAGGUGUUUACAAGAUUUUUACCUGAGAUGAAUACGACGAUAUGCUUGAGUAUUGUGCAUGCUUUCUAUGCAUGGUAUUGGUUGAAUUGUUAAUUUUGAAGCCAACUAGAUUAGUGUCAAGCGAUAGUGUAUGCCCUCAGUCAUGCAAGUCAAAAAACUCAUGCAAGUGAUCGACCAAAUGGAGGUUAUUUUUACUAAGAUGUGCAUUGGGUAUAUGCAGUACAUUGCGACGUGUUUGAAUUACAUCUUCUGAUAUAUUAUAUUUGUGUCUAUGGGAAUGCAAUUAAUUGUAAAUUUUGUACGUGGGUAAUGAGUACCUUGUGUGAUAGAACUUAUUUAUCCAUCACUAUUUUCCUUUAGCAGAACUAUAUUUUCCUGUAGUGGUGUGUUACAUGGCUAAUGUUUCUAAUAUCUAAGAUGUCUCCAAUGUCUUGGUUCUUGGCUCCAUGGAACCUUUUCUGCAGCCAAGGCAUUAUUUGGUUUAACUUGCAACCGUAUAGCUCUAAAGAAAUAAAAUUGACAUAAUGUUUCACUCUGAUCAUAUAAUGGUUGAUUAUGUUUUUCAGUGGAAUCAACCGUCAACAUGUAAAUCAUCUUUUAGUUACCAUACUAUUUAAAAAAAUAGGUGCAUUACUUUGUAUUAUUAACCUUCUAUUGGAAAUCAACUUCUGCAUGUCUGAUAGAUACUGAUGUUUUGUUAUCAGCGUUUAUAAAUUAUUCAUUUUGCAACUAUACGUGUUGAAUUGUAUAUUUUGGCAUAUAUCUUUUACUCUUUGCUUAUUGACUAAAGAACUACCAAACUUAUCAGCUUUUAGUCGUUAUAAGAUUAAGGAACUCAUUAAUUAACUAUUUAGUUGUUUUCAUUUUUGAAACACCAUGGCAUAUUUAUAAUAUAUUGGAUGACAAAUGGUCAUAUAUCAACUCUGUACUUACAUAUGUGGGACAAGUACAAGGAAGGAUAAUUAAUUGUCACGGAGUGUCUUUCAUAUACUAUACAUGAUAUUUUUUGUAAGUCAAAUACACUAUCUAUUGAUAAAUUGAAGACGUUUCGAAAAUAGCUCAGUUACAACAUUUCACUUUUAUCUUUAAGGUUUAUAUCAUAGGGUAAAAAGUCACAACAACACUAAGAUAUUGUGCAACUCUUUUCUAUGAAUAUUUUAUGAUAACGAAUGAAGAAAAUAUAACAUAUGCCUAUAUAUUAAUAUAGUCAAAACUGGAGAAGUUUGUUCGCAAACUUUUCCGGACCACACCAUCCAUUUACAGCCACAAGCUGCACAAAAUACUACGAUUCCACAUUCAAAAUUACAAAAGUGCAUUAGCAUACAUGUGACAAAUAUUUUAGGGAAAAAACAAUUCUCCAAAUGUUUUUUGUUAAAACAUAUUUUGAGAUAUUUACAUGUAUGAGAUGUCACGUCGCUAUGUUUAAGACAACAAUUAGUGUAUUUGGCAGCUCUACAUCCUCCACGAAUAACAAAAACAAAUAUAUGUUCAAGGAAAUAACAAUGCGUUCCUCACAUGACUGUAUCUAGCCUUGCCAACCUAUAUGAUGUGGCACACACAGGAAAUAACAGUGUGUAAGGAAAUAACAGUAUAUGAAAUCCCCUGUUUUCAACCUAUAUGAUUGAGCACACAUCCAAGCAAAAUCACAAAUCAAUGUAUGGUCAUAACAUAGACAACAAGACAAAAUGAAAUAACUAGCCCGUGCGAAUGCACGGGUUGACGACUAGUAGUAAUAUUUUUUGCUUACCAAUUUCCACUUACCAAGAGUGCUUCACUCCCCGGCAACGGUACCAGAAAAGAGCCUUGAUGACCCACAAGUAUAGGGUAUCAACCGUAGUCCUUUCGAUAAGUAAGAAUGUCGAACCCAACGAGGAGCACAAGGAAAUGACAAGUGGUUUUCAGCAAGGUAAUGUCUGCAAGCACUGAAAUUAUAAGUAACGAGUAGUUUGAUAGCAGGAUAAUUUGUAACGAGCAAGUAACGAUAAUAAUAACAAAAGUGCAGCAAGGUAGCCCAAUCUUUUUGAGGCAAAGGACAGGCCAAAACAGUCUCUUACGAUAAUCGAAGUGUUCUUGAGAGUACACGGAAAUUUCAUCUAGUCACUUUCAUCGUGUUGGUUUGAUUUGUGUUUGCUACUUUUGUAACUUGAUAUGUGGGUGGACCGAUGCUUAGGUGUUGUCCUUACUUGAACAAACCUCUUACUUAUGAUUAACCCCCUCGCAAGCAUCCGCAACUACGAGAAAAGUAUUAAGAAUAAAUUCUAACCAUAGCAUUAAACUUUUGGAUCCAAUCGGUCCUUUACGGAAUAGCGCAUAAGCUAGGGUUUAAGAUUUUAUCACUCUUGCAACCCAUCAUCUAAUAACUACUGCACAAUGCAUUCCCUUUUGCCCAAUUAUGGUGAAGUGUCAUGUAGUCGACGUUCACAUGACACCACUUAGGGAAUCACAACACGCAUACCAUCAAAAUAUCGAACACAUAUAAAUUCACAUGAUUACUUCCAACAAGAUUUCUCCCGUGACCUCAAGAACAAAAGUAACUACUCACAAAUGAUAGUCAUGCUCAAGAUUAGAGGGGUAUUAAAUAGCAUAUUGGAUCUGAAUAUAUAACCUUCCACCAAAUAAACCAUAUAGUAAUCAACUACAAGAUGUAAUCAACACUACUAGUCACCCACAAGUACCAAUUUAUAGUUCCGGUACAAAGAUUGAACACAAGAGAUAAACUAGGGUUUGAGAGGAGAUGGUGUUGUUGAAGAUGUUGAUGGAGAUUGCCCUCACCAAGAUGGGAGAGUUGUUGGUGAUGAUGAUGACGAUGAAUUCCCCCUCCAGGAGGGAAGUUCCCACGACAUAAUCUCUCAGCCGAAGAGCAAAAGUGCUCCUGACCAAGUUCCACCUCGAGACGGUGGCGCUUCGUCCCGAAAGUCAUGUCCUUAUUUUCUCUCUAUCAAAAUGACUUAUAUACCAGAAGAUGGGCACCGGAGGUGGGCUAGGUGGAGCAUAACCCACCAAGGCCCGUGUCUUGUGCUCACCAGGUGGCCCCACUCCGGUAGUUAUUUGCUCCUGUAUUUCUUAUUUGUUCCAUAAAAAUUUCUUGUGAAGUUUCAGCUCAUUUGGAGUUGUGCAGAAUAGGUAGCCUGGCGUAGCUUUUUCUGGUCCAGAUUUCCAGCUGCCAAAAUUCUCCCUCUUUGUGUGAACCUUGCAUAUUAUCAGAGAAAAUGCAUUAGAAUUACUCCAAAAAGCAGUAUUAUGCAUAAAAACAUUAUAAAGAACAGUAGGUAAACGCGAUGCAAAAUGGACAUAUCAAAUGACCAUCGACACCAGCCAUCUCUUGGACAACACAAGGACAAUGUAAAGGUUCUCCAACAGCAACACCUCCAAAAAGGGAAUGAUGCUCAUAGGCCAUGUCAUCNNNNNNNNNNNNNNNNNNNNNNNNNNNNNNNNNNNNNNNNNNNNNNNNNNNNNNNNNNNNNNNNNNNNNNNNNNNNNNNNNNNNNNNNNNNNNNNNNNNNNNNNNNNNNNNNNNNNNNNNNNNNNNNNNNNNNNNNNNNNNNNNNNNNNNNNNNNNNNNNNNNNNNNNNNNNNNNNNNNNNNNNNNNNNNNNNNNNNNNNNNNNNNNNNNNNNNNNNNNNNNNNNNNNNNNNNNNNNNNNNNNNNNNNNNNNNNNNNNNNNNNNNNNNNNNNNNNNNNNNNNNNNNNNNNNNNNNNNNNNNNNCAUCUCACUAUCUCAUAACAAACAUUGCUUUCUCUCAGUUACUUGCAGUUUUCCUCCUGUCUCCUUCAAAUUUCGGCAAUUGACAGGCAGCAAUGGUGUGCAUCAAGUAGAAGCAGAGCCUGUUUCAAUCCUUAGAUUCGUGUUGCGCCUCUGCCAUUUUUGCUGAGAGACUCCGCCGAGAGAGUUGAUUCAUCUAAUCGAUCAGCCCAUGCCAAGUUCACGUGCAUGUGUAUAUAUGUGUGACAGUGCUUGUUAUAAUGCAAUUUGUAUUACUAGGAGGUCAACUACCAUAUAUAUAUAUAUAAUGUACAUGAGGAUCCCAGAAGUCAAGAAUACGCUGAAGACGCCGUAGGACACAACGUUACAGAGAGACUAGCACCAAGCACCGAGCGACGAUACAUGUGCGAGACGGGAUUAAUAUAGGGAACACUGACAGAAGUCAGCGGGCUGCGACAUAGAUGCAGGGACGGAAACCUCAUAUCCAUUGUUUACUGUAUUUUUUUAUCUAUCUAUUUUUUACACUCAGAAACAACUGUGGAAUCGACCCAAAAUAGUGGAAUCAAAGGCCGAACGAAGUAUUAGCGCUCAUGCGCGAGGCAGAUAGCCAGCAGGCUGACUUCAAAAGCAGGAGCGGAGACCAGGGAGCUCGAUCCAUUGGACGAGAACGGCACUACCUCGAUCGAGGGCAGCCGAAUCACGAGCGGGUCCCGAUCUGGGCAUGCAAGGGCGGUCGGGUGUCCGGAGGACGCCCACGACUGGAGCCGGCGGCAGGGUGUGGAGAGGGCACCCUCGCCUAGAGAUAGCGGCGGCCGCGGCGGGAGGUGGGCGGGGCGGUCUCAGCCAGAAGUGGAGGCGUGGCGGCCGCGGCCGGAGGUGGAGGCAGCGACCUCGGCGAAAAGUGGAGGCGCGGCGGCCAUGGUAGGAGGUGGAGGUGGCGACCUCGGCGGGAAGUGGGCACUGCGGCCUCGGCGAGAGGUGGCGGCGCAGCAGAUGUGGCAGGAGGUGAAGGCGGCAACCUCGGCGUGAGGUGGGAGGUGGAGUUGCGGACCUGGAGCAGAUCGGUGAGAGAGCCGCCAGAUCGGGCCGGCCUGGAGCAGAGGAAAACAUCAACCACCGGCAAAAAAAGUGACGGUAGUGUGCGAGGUUGGAUCAGGAGGUGAGUUGCAAUGCCAAAAAAAACUCUGAACGUAGGCUCGAUAUCAUGUUAUAAUAUAAUUUGUAUUGAGGUAAAUACACAAGAGGUUUUAGAACUUGCGUGCGGCGGUUACUUUGAUGCACAAAGUUGUAAAAUACGUGUUUGUGGUCACUAAACUUGCGAGGCCAUUCAAAUACAGUCACUCUCACCGUACGCAUGCGUAUCCGUAGACGCCAGCAUGGCACGGGCCCCCUGUCAGCCACCGUAAUUGCUCUUGUAUGAUAGAUUUGUAGAAAAGCCCGCAGUUCUUUUUUUAUUUACAUAGGAACCCCUAAAAUAAUAAAAAUAGUGGGGCGGCGGGGUUCCAUACUUGGACGUACCGCUAAGUGGCACGAUUGAACAACCACCACGCCAACAGUAUCAUGUGUUUACUUUGCACUACUAUAUUAUACUGUAUAUCCUAUCCGAGUGGACCCAAAAAGUGAUAAUGAAGAAAUUUAUGUCUUCUAAUAAUAAGAAUGCAAAGUGCAACCGGUGGGUUCGAACCUGUGACAUGGAGAUUCACUCGCGCAUAAGCCAACCACCAAGCAACUGCGACAUGUGAUGUAAUUUAGAGAUAGACAAUGUAUAUGUUUUUAUCACUCUUGUUCUCUAUAAGUAUGUGCCAUUUUAAAAAAUGUUUAAACAUUGUCAAAAAUGUUCGUGUAAUUCAAAAUAUGUUCAUGCAAUAGAAAAACUACGCGAACAGUUUUUUGAACCAUGCGAGCAUAAUUGUACAUUGUGUAAAACUCACAAUUUUUUUUGAAAUGUGUCAACAUUUUUUAAAUGCAAUGUACAUUUCUUAAUUUACAUGAAUAUUUUUCACAGUGUUUAAACAUUUUUAUAAAUGCCAUGUAGUUUUUUUAACGCAUGUACAUAUUUUGAAUUGCACAAACAAUAUUAUUUGAAAAUAAUACAUGAACUAUUUUUUCUGAUCCACGAAUUUCUCAAAUAAAACGAAUAGGUGUUAUUAUGAAUAUUUAAAAACUAUUUGUGUUAUUAUUAUGCAAACAUUUUUAUAAUUCAUAAGUAUUAUUUUAGAAGAAUACAUGAAAAUUAUUUGAAAUUAUCUUAUUAAUGGCAUUAUAAUUUGCAUACUAUCUACAAAUUUCUGAAAAAUAAACAAGUGCAAAAUGGGUCGCUGGACCACAGCCCAUUUCUGUUCCAUGAGCGCUUCCGUUUUUGUACAUUAAUCUUAGUUACUCUUAAUAGCUGUCUACAGAUGUGUGGCGCAGUUUGUGUGACCUGUAUUGUACUAGUAUUAGGUCGGGGUUCGAGAUCUGGCAGUUAAACUUUUUGUCCCAUCGAUUGUUGAUUUUUUAUUUUGCAUAGAAGAAGAAGAAGAAGGGGUUUUGUGCAAAAAUGCGUCCAUGUGUCAUUGACAGCGGGCCCAUGCCAUGCUGGCAUCGACGGAUACGCUCGCGUACAGAGAGAGUGACUGUAUUUGAACAGUCUCGCAAGUUUAGUGGCCCUAAACACGUAUUUUGCAACUUUGUGCACCAAAGUGACCGCCGCAUGCAAGUUCUAAGACCUCUGGUGUAUUUACCUCAAUACAAAUUCACCAUAUAUAUGAUGUACACGAGGAUGCCAAAAGUCGAGAAUACAAAAGAGUAAAGGCCACCAUCAAUCUUUCCCUAAUAAUAAAUUGCUUAUUAUUCAGGCCGUACGUCAUCAGCCUUUUCGCAAAAAAUUCAGCGCUUUCUGAGAAAUUAACCAGUAGUCCUACAUAAAGUGUGCUACUCAUGGAUAACGUCUCUUUUUUGUAAAAAAAAAACCCUGCCACCACUGGCCACCUCCACCACUUAUCCAUUGUCUGCCUCCACUGAACCGCCGGGCAUGCCGUGCUGCUUGCCACCGGCGUCAACACCGCAGAAGCCAAGGCAAGGGGAUGCGUCGCAACGGGCGUCCGCGCCACCUGAGCCCAGGAAUAGGGUGAGGCAUCGCGGCGGUCCGAGGCGUCGUGGUGGGCAUUGGAGGGCGCGGCGCCCCAUUCCUAGUGCACCAUCAAUAUAAUUAUAACAACGCUACUAUAGAUCAAUCCAGGUGCUUAUGUGCUAGCUCUUGCACGUACGUACAUACAACUUAUGUGGUGAUUUGAUCUUGUGGUCUAGAAACCAUCAAGGAGAAUAGACGAGCGCGUCCGUGUGUGUGUGUGUGUGUGUGUGUGUGUGUGUGUGUGUGUGGAAGGAGGGAGGAGUCUAUUCAUGAGUUAGGCCGAUGCUUAGUAGUAAAUUUUCUUUUUGAGUUUUGGAAGGGGGGAGGGUUCGUGCCCCCCUUUGGCCUCCGUGAGCCUCCGCCAGUGCCAAAGGUCACAUCCUAGGUUUUCACCCUGAAGAUCAAGUCAAAACAACUUUAAGCAAUGCAUUGAAAAAGGUAACGACAAAUGACCCAAAAACACUGUCAUUGCUAGGUAUAACCCACUAGAGUUAGACCUAGGGUUUUCACCUCAAAACUCGAGAUUAGCUACUCGAUAAGCACCACUAAAUCCUAGUACCUAUGAUCCAAAACUUGCUAUGAUCCUAGUAGCUAAACGCAUGCACAAUUAUAACGUGUGGAGCCACACUAAUGAUGACCGUGCCCGCACAAGCAGGAACGCAAACUGUGACAAGAGUUAGUUGCCACCAAAGGCUCAGGAUGGCGAAGGAAACUGUCAUACAUAAAAUAAAGAUUGAUGAGGGAGGAAGGUCAUCGACACUGCCAAACUUCCACUUCGGGAUGCUCCGACAUCCCCACACAUUCCUCAUGAAUGACAUUCGGUGGAAGAUCCACAUAGCACCAUUAAAUUACAUGGAGCUGCAAUGAUAUUCACAUCACAUUGAUCAGAGCGUCACAUCAGCUAUCAUAUAAACAUUUUCUACCAACCACGCCAUUAAAGAAUGUACGAACAUUCCACCAUGACAAAUAAUGACUCCAACAAAUGUGCACACAAUAGAUUCUUAAGCCUAGAGAAAGUAUGAAGGGAAUAAAUGUCCAACAGUUAAACAUAUGGAAUCCAACAUGAAAGAUUAUACUAUAUAAAUCUUAAUGGGAAAGGGCAAAAGGAAACCACAUCUUCCUUUGAGGUAGAUUAUCUUGCUAAUAAGAUUAAUGCAGCCAUUUGUCGCAUAUUGCUUACUGAACCUCCAACCUCUACCAUCCUACUUCUUGAGGUCACAUGAAGGCAAGAGGAGAUGGGGACACACAACUAACAUACCCUGUGCAAGAUGAAGUAGAGAGGAGUGAGAGAGGAUGGCCGUGAGCCAUAUCGGCUCGAGGAUAUGCACGAGGAUGAUAUGGCGAUGCAAGGGAGAGAGGAGGCACAUGACAAGCAAGAGAGGAAGGAGCUAGGUUUUGUUGAUGAGUUGGUAGUUGGUAUACUAUGCUUUUAUUGUCAUUGAGACGCAAUCAUAUCCUCUAUUUGCAUCUCAUAAACGGAUCCAACUAAUAGGAAAAGGGCCAUUGAUGUAGAGUCAUUUGGUAGCCUGUAUAGUGGUAGUUAGACUACAUCUGGAAGGAAUCUUUUGCUUCAAGCGGUGUUUAAUUGCUCGAAUUGCAUUAGAUUCUUGUAUCACACGUUGUUUAAAGCAUUUCGGAGGCAGGCUAAGGAGGAAAGACUGAAUCAGCUGUUUCCACUAAUGCAGGCUUGUGCAGACCACAAGGUGAGAAAGAUUCUCUUCUUUUUUGUGGCAGGAUGCAUCCUCAUCUCACAGUGCAUGCGGGAAGCCGCCGCUACGAAACAAGACACCAUGCGUGCUACCAAACCCCACUAACCACCAUGGAGGGGCCCAAACUACAUGCUUAGAUCGUUUCUUGCAUAAUUUUUUCUCUACCAAACCCCAACCAGUCUGACUCGUUUCCCUCAUGCAGCCCGGUGCAAUUGCUGUAGUCUACCAAAUAUCCCCUUACUGCUCCUGUGGGUGUUGAAUGUACCACCACAUAUAGCUUUACCAAUGUUGGCCAUUCUAUCACACUAAAAUAAUGUGAGGUGGCUGCAUUGCUUUGUCUAGAAGAUUCACGCCUUCCAAUACAAACUGAUGUACUAUCCUUAGAGCAUGGUUGAUAAUAUAGCUAGUUGCUGCCUAUAACUAGUUGCCAUGUCAUCUAUUUCCAAUGUAAUAGUCCAGACGUAUAAUACUUGGCUUUCACAAAGUACUACUUUAUCAACACAUGGCCCAUCUUUCACUCUAACAAACCUUCUUGGAGUUUGUGCGAUAGCCCACUUCUCUUUUAUUUCUUCCAACUCAGCAAUAAUAUAAUAUUUAAAUCCUUACAGCCUGCUUAUGUCACCUAAUUAUAAUUGCUCUUACAAUGGUGUAGACCUAUUGUUAUAGCUCGUCUCUUGGCAUCAACAUGAAUGUUCGUGCAAGAUUGACAAGAAGAAAAUUUCUUUGAUUAUCAAGAAAAGUUAAAAGAAGUCCUUGAACUUUGAAUGCACAGUGCCUCAGCCACACGAGCACCGGACUUUUGUUUUCUUUAGAAAAACACUAACGGCCCAUCCCGCAACCCAUUGACGGCCCAACCCCUAACGGAAGAAAACCGAAGUUCCAUGCUCGUAGCCAUAGGUUUCAAUCCCCUUGCUCCUGGCUAGAGGCUCGACGAAACCGCCAGCCAUCUUACACCGCCAUGUUCAUCCCGUCCGAUCGCUCCCAUUUCCACUCAUGAAUGUUGCGUCUCAACUCUCAACUCGUGUCCAGUAGACAGUGCAUCAGCAUCCGACCACCAUCGCAGACUCCUUCACCGAUACCCUGACCUCCCUAUCUAUCUUCUUUCAUUGCUGGUCUUCCUGUCAUCCCACGGCGGCAUGGCGGCUGAGAGGCUCACCAACGAUCUUCUCGUGGAGAUCCUCUCACGUGUCUCGGCACAGUCUUUGUGCCGCUUCAAGUCCGUCUCCAAGCAUUGGCUCAGCCUCAUCGACCACCACGAUCACUACAGGAAGCUCCCUCAAACCCUAGCCGGAUUCUUCUACACUAGGAGUGACAAUGGGCAGUUGCCUCUGAAAACAAAAGUCUGCUUUGCCAGUGUCUCAGGGAAAUGCUUCCCUCCAGUCAACACCUCUUUCACCUUUCUGCACAGCCCCCGACGUGUCGAUCUACUGGAUUGCUGCAAUGGUCUCCUCCUCUGUCGCUGGUAUGACAUUUCUACUCCGGAUGAUGAGUUAUGCUAUAUCGUGUGUAAUCCAGCCAGGGAGGAGUGGUCAAGUUGCCGGACAUUAGUCAUGCUGACAAUGUGCGAGCACUGCGUUUGGGUUUUGAUCCGGCUGUGUCUGCCCACUUCUAUGUGUUUGCAUUGUUGGAGGAUGUCCAUUUUAAAUUUUACCUUGCCGGAGUGGAAGUGUAUUCAUUGGAAACCAAAAUAUGAGUUUACAAGGAAAUUGGAUGGAACAAAAGAAUCAAGCUUCCUUCUUGGCAGUCCGAUGAUGUCUUCCUCAACGGCUUUUUGCAUUUUUAUGCCUCUGGUAAAAGUUCAUAGUUUUAUAUUGUUGGCGGACGCGGUAUUUCAAAAAAUUUCCUACGAUCACGCAAGAUCUAUCUAGAAGAUGCAUAGCAAUGAGAAGGGAGAGUGUGUCCACGUACCCUCAUAGACCAAAAGCUGAAGCGUUUAGUAACGCGGUUGAUGUAGUUGAACGUCUUCGCGAUCCAACCGAUCCAAGCACCGAACGUAUGGCACCUCCGUGUUCAGCACACGUUCAGCUCGAUGACGUCCCUCGUUCUCUUGAUCUAAUUGAGGACGAGGGAGAGUUUCAUCAGCACGGCGGCAUGAUGACGGUGAUGAUGAAGUUACCAGUGCAGGGCUUCGUCUGAGCACUAUGACGAUAUGACCGAGGUGUGUAAUAGUGGAGGGGGGCACCGCACACGGCUAAGACUAGACUUGGUGUGCCUUUGGGGUUCCCCCUCCCACAUAUAUAAAGGGGGAGGAGAGGUGGCUGGCCCUAGGGGCGCGCCAUGGGGGUUCCUACUUGGACUCCCGGCCGAAGUAGGAUCCGGUCCCCCCCUUUCCUAUUCCAAGUAGGAGAAGAAGGGAAGGAGGAAGAGGAGAGAAGGAAGGAGGGGGGUGCCGCCCCCACCCCUUGUCCAAUUUGAAGGAAAUAUGCCCUAGAGGCAAUAAUAAAGUUGUUAUUUAUAUUUCCUUAUAUCAUGAUAAAUGUUUAUUAUUCAUGCUAGAAUUGUAUUAACCGAAAACUUAGUACAUGUGUGAAUACAUAGAAAAACAGAGUGUCCCUAGUAUGCCUCUACUUGACUAGCUCGUUAAUCAAAGAUGGUUAAGUUUCCUAGCCAUGGACAUGUGUUGCCAUUUGAUGAACGGGAUCAAAUCAUUGGAGAACGAUGUGAUGGACUAGACCCAUCUAUUAGCUUAGCACUAUGAUCGUUUAGUUUAUUGUUAUUGCUUUCUUCAUGACUUAUACAUGUUCCUAUUACUAUGAGAUUAUACAACUUCCGAAUACCGGAGGAACACUUAGUGUGCUGUCAAAUGUCACAACUUAACUGGGUGAUUAUAAAGAUGCUCUACAGGUGUCUCCGAUGGUGUUUGUUGAGUUGGUAUAGAUCGAGAUUAGGAUUUGUCACUCCGAUUGUCGGAGAGGUGUCUCUGGGCCCUCUCGGUAAUGUACAUAACUAUAAGUCUUGGAAGCAAUGUGAUUAAUGAGUUAGUUACGAGAUGAUGCAUUACGGAACGAGUAAAGACACUUGCCGGUGACGAGAUUGAACUAGGUAUGAUGAUACACUACUAGGGAAAAGCUUAUAGGUAUACGCUUACUAGUAGAGUGGGUUUAUACCCCCCGCUACUGCUACAUACUAGUAGCGCGGGUUUAUAACACCCGCUACUACUAAAUUGAUAGUAGUAGCGCGUGUUUAUAACCCUUCCUACUACUAAGUGGUCUCUGACGUGCCCCCCGCCCCCCCGGGACAUGUCAUAGUAGUAGCGUGGGGUACAAAUUGGCGCUACUACUAAAUAAAUUGCUAUAGCGUAGGUGAGACACCCACGCUACUACUUACUACUGCACCAUCCACCAGAUCCACUCCCACCCACCACUCUUCUCAUUCCCUUCUCCUCACAGCCGCCACGCCUCCUGCUCCUACGCCGGCGCCGGCUCCUCCAUCUCCCCAGCUCAGUCCAGCCCUCAUCCGACCAAAGUAGGAGCUGACCGACCGAGUGAGUUGCCCAAACAUAAAGUCCACCAUGGAGAUGGCCUUCUUCUCCGCCGCCUCACUCUUCCACGCUGAUGACGACAGCGACUACGACGGUGGCGGCACACGAGGUAAAUUAAACCCAGGCCAUGUUCGCGUUCCUGUCCAUUCUGUCACCCACCUUGUGCUCCUAGCUGACGAACCCCUUUCCUGCACCCCCUUUCCGGCGAUUAAAGACGAGGCGCAGGUGGGUGCCGAGGGGGAGACCCAGCAGCCGGCGCUGGAGUACGAGGAGAGGAUCAACAAGUUCCCCGGCAUGGUAAAAUUACCAACCUAACUCUGAUUCCUAGUUAAUUUCGCUACUGUCCUAAUCACUCUGCGAACAAGCAGAUCGACUAGAAACCUUAUGUUUGCUGUCCAGUGUCAAUGCUGGAGCUCGAAACCCUGGAAGCACACUGAACCUCAUGAAUAGACCUGAAUAUUUGUUUUAGGUAGAUGCUUGACCAUUAUGCUUUGGGAGAGUGCACACGAGUCUACCAUCUGAAAUUGUAGUUGACCAAUCUAAUUUGGCAUGACCAGUUGUAGCGUCUCGGUGAUAAAAGGGUUAACAAUAUCGAGGGAUUUUGUUUAUUCUUCUUCUAAAGAUGAUUGUCAACCUUUGCAUUUUCCGCAGGUUGCAAUUCGUGUAGCACAAAGUAGUAUAUUUAUUGGUCCAUAUGUUGAUCUGAAUGUCUGAAUCUCACAUUAUGUCACUAUAAAUGUCGUUUUGGACUUUUAUAUGGUCCUCCAGUGUACCGUUUGACAUAAUUUUUCUUGAAAAUAUGCUUCGCCGAAUAAAAUAGGCACAUAUAAGAAGAGUACAUUUCAUUAGGCUUGUUUUAUCGGUUUGGUCUUAUAGAUGGUUGAGGGGAGAGACGACACUGCUGGUUUGCUGAAGUGGUAGGUUGCCAUUCAGUUAAGUCCCCAAUACUCUUCUUCCAUGGGCUCCAGAAUUUACUUGUAUUAGGGAGUUAGCCGAGCCAUAUUUAACCUGGUGAAGACAAGAUUACGACUUUAGUACAUUGAUAGUCAACAGAAGAACACAACUAAAAUAUGCGCAAAAGUUAGUUAGGCUGUACCCAGAAGCUGUAGAGACUGUUUGGGUGUGAUUCCUGUCGGUGGACUGAUGAAAUUUUUGGUAGAGAAAUUCAGGCAUGUAGUUGGAUGGAUGAAUAUACCUUGCAUACAUCUCUAGGAUUUACAGAAUGAAGCUAACAAUUGCUUGAGCCUACUAUGUUAUAUAUGUUAGGAGUAUCCUCGGCCAGGUUAAUAACUAAUGAUCUGAAUUGCUCGAAUAGCUGCAAACUUGUGG
rnacentral:lncRNA from 1 species